AUUGAACGCUGGCGGCAGGCCUAACACAUGCAAGUCGAGCGGAGCGGCGGACGGGUGAGUAAUGCCUAGGAAUCUGCCUGGGAGUGGGGGAUAACGUCCGGAAACGGGCGCUAAUACCGCAUCCUAUCAGAUGAGCCUAGGUCGGAUUAGCUAGUUGGUGGGGGAAAGGCCUACCAAGGCGACGAUCCGUAACUGGUCUGAGAGGAUGAGCAUUCAAACUGGCACUGAGAAACGGUCCAGACUCCUACGGGAGGCAGCAGUGGGGAAUAUUUGACAAUGGGCGAAAGCGUGAUCCAGGCAUGCCGCGGGUGUUAAGAAGGUAUUCGGGUUGUAAAGCACUUUAAGUUGGGAGGCGUUACCAACAGAAUAAGCACCGGCUAACUUCGUGCCAGCAGCCGCGGUAAUAC
rnacentral:rRNA from 1 species